rnacentral:rRNA from 1 species
UACAGAGGGGGCAAGCGUUAUUCGGAAUUAUUGGGCGUAAAGGGCGCGUAGGCGGCUUCGCAAGUGGAAGGUGAAAUCCCUCGGCUUAACCGAGGAACUGCCCUCCAAACUGCGUUGCUUGAGGCCGGGAGAGGUGAGUGGAAUUCCCAGUGUAGCGGUGAAAUACGUAGAGAUUGGGAAGAACACCAGUGGCGAAGGCGGCUAUCUGGACGGUUUCUGACGCUAAGACGCGAAAGCGUGGGGAGCAAACAGG